AGAAAGUUAGUCUCCAAUAAGAUGCGGGGUUGUCAACUCCGAGAGGUUAUUUAUGUAACACUUUCUU
rnacentral:tRNA from 1 species